CCUGAGAAACCCAAAAGAUCGAAUGGGGAGACUCAUCGUCAGCGGCUUUGGCUUCCGUGCGGCUUCGAUGACCGGGACCUCGGUUCCGCGUCACGCGGUCGCUGCGGUAUGUUCGAGGACGUUGGCGUGCACUUCUCCCCUAGUAGGACGUCGCGACCCGUUGGGUGUCGGAUCGAUGACGCGCUUGGUCGACUGUCUCGUCUCGUGUAUGCGUUAUCGUGACAGACCAGAUGCGCCGAUGGUAUCCGGCUGCCCGGCGGUAUAGAACGUUUUUGAUUGGUAUAGAGCCGCACGUAAGUGCGUUUGGGUUCGUCGACGGGCUCGUCUCGCUCGAUUCUACGGACCCGGUGCCGUUGUCGGGUGCUUGACGUGCCUCAAAGUCGACGAUUGUUCUCGAACAGGCUCUUCGAAAGUUACUACCGGUCAGCGACGCUACUGCUUUGGGUACUUUC
rnacentral:rRNA from 1 species